GACGUAGGGGGCGAGCGUUGUCCGGAUUUAUUGGGCGUAAAGAGCUCGUAGGCGGUUUGUCGCGUCGGCCGUGAAAUCUCCACGCUUAACGUGGAGCGUGCGGUCGAUACGGGCAGACUUGAGUUCGGUAGGGGAGACUGGAAUUCCUGGUGUAGCGGUGAAAUGCGCAGAUAUCAGGAGGAACACCGGUGGCGAAGGCGGGUCUCUGGGCCGAUACUGACGCUGAGGAGCGAAAGCGUGGGGGAGCGAACAGG
rnacentral:rRNA from 1 species